UACGUNCCAGCAGCCGCGGUAAUACGUAGNUCCCGAGCGUUGUCCGGAUUUAUUGGGCGUAAAGGGAGCGCAGGCGNUCAGGAAAGUCUGGAGUAAAAGGCUAUGGCUCAACCAUAGUGUGCUCUGGAAACUGUNUGACUUGAGUGCAGAAGGGGAGAGUGGAAUUCCAUGUGUAGCGGUGAAAUGCGUAGAUAUAUGGAGGANCACCAGUGGCGAAAGCGGCUCUCUGGUCUGUCACUGACGCUGAGGCUCGAAAGCGUGGGUAGCGAACAGGAUUAGAUACCCUGGUAGUNCACGCCGUAAACGAUGAGUGCUAGGUGUUAGGCCCUUUCCGGGGCUUAGUGCCGGAGCUAACGCAAUAAGCACUCCGCCUGGGGAGUACGACCGCAAGGUUGAAACUCAAAGGAAUUGACGGGGGCCCGCACAAGCGGUGGAGCAUGUGGUUUAAUUCGAAGCAACGCGAAGAACCUUACCAGGUCUUGACAUCCCGAUGCUAUUCUUAGAGAUAGGAAGUUACUUCGGUACAUCGGAGACAGGUGGUGCAUGGUUGUCGUCAGCUCGUGUCGUGAGAUGUUGGGUUAAGUCCCGCAACGAGCGCAACCCUUAUUGUUAGUUGCCAUCAUUAAGUUGGGCACUCUAGCGAGACUGCCGGUAAUAAACCGGAGGAAGGUGGGGAUGACGUCAAAUCAUCAUGCCCCUUAUGACCUGGGCUACACACGUGCUACAAUGGUCGGUACAACGAGUUGCGAGCCGGUGACGGCAAGCUAAUCUCUGAAAGCCGAUCUCAGUUCGGAUUGGAGGCUGCAACUCGCCUCCAUGAAGUCGGAAUCGCUAGUAAUCGCGGAUCAGCACGCCGCGGUGAAUACGUUCCCGGGCCUUGUACACACCGCCCGUCACACCACGAGAGUUUGUAACACCCGAAGUCGGUGAGGUAACCUUUUAGGGGCCAGCCG
rnacentral:rRNA from 1 species